UCCACCAGCAGCCGCGGUAAUUCCAGCUCCAAUAGCGUAUAUUAAAGUUGUUGCAGUUAAGAAGCUCGUAGUUGAAUUUCUGCCUUAUCAUUAAGUUCGCUUCCGAACGUAAUUUUAUUGAUUUGGCAUCAUCUGGAUUAUAUAUUAUUUUUAAUANAUUUUUCCAGUAUUUUACUUUGAGAAAACUAGAGUGUUUCAAACAGGCUUUUGCCUUGAAUACUACAGCAUGGAAUAAUGAAGUAGGACUUUUGGUUCCUCUUUUGUUGGUUAUCGAACCAUAGUAAUGGUUAAUAGGAGCAGUUGGGGGCAUUCGUAUUUAACUGUCAGAGGGUAAAUUCUU
rnacentral:rRNA from 1 species